UAGAAUUAAGCCCAUGGAAAGACUAUUUAGU
rnacentral:piRNA from 1 species